rnacentral:tRNA from 1 species
GGCGAGAUGGCCGAGCGGUCCAAGGCGGUUAGUACCACUAUUAAAUCCUUUAUCUUGCCGAACAAAUCAACUAAUAAUCUCUCAGCUGGAGUAAGGUUCCAGUCUCGAAAGGGGCGUGGGUUCAAAUCCCACUCUCGUCA